CCCGCUGAACUUAAGCAUAUAAUUAAGCGGAGGAAAAGAAACUAACAAGGAUUCCCCUAGUAACGGCGAGUGAAGCGGGAAGAGCUCAAGCUUAAAACCCGUGCUUCUUCCGGAGCACUGGAUUGUAGCCUAAAGAGGGAGCGUCCUGGUGAGCGGUGACCUAAAUGCUUUGGAAUAAGCUGCCAAAGAGGGUGCGAGCCCCGUUCCUGGUUGCCUGAUCUCAUCUUUUGUGAUGCCCUUUCAUUGAGUAGGAUUGCUUGAGAGUGCAGUCCGAAGUGGGUGGUAUACUUCAUCUAAAGCUAAAUAUUGACACGAGACCGAUAGCGAACAAGUACCGUGAGGGAAAGAUGAAAAGAACUCUGAAGAGAGAGUGAAAAAGUGCGUGAAACCGUUGAAAGGGAACCUGAUGGGUGCAGUGUCUCGUACGGUUGACAUCUCAGCCUGAAUAUGCGGAUGGUCUGUGCAGUUUUGCCAGUGUCAAAGCGGCCUGCAUGGACUUUGAAGUAUAGAUGGGUGCACUAUGUCGAUCGGGGCCUCUGAAUGCGUUAGGGCGAGCAGGAUAAAGCUGUGUUUGGGUAAAUUCACUCCGGUGAACGAGAUUUCACAGUGGAAAUAUGCUUCCCUGACGGAGGAAAAUAGGGUCUCGGCUCAGCCGCAACGGCCUGUGUACUGUGUUGGUGCUCUGUUUGUGGCACUUCUUCGGAAGUUCCGUGAAUACGUAGUGCUCAUGGUUUAUGUGGGUCAGUUGUUGAGAUCCCUGGAUUCAGAGAUUAAAUGUGCUCAUCAGACCCGUCUUGAAACACGG
rnacentral:rRNA from 1 species